rnacentral:rRNA from 1 species
AUGUCCAAUACUCUUUUCCCCAAAAAAUUCUUAUCCAAACUCACUCCAAUCAUUAGAAAGUUUUGGUGGACAGGGGUGAGAGAGGAAAAUAAUUCAAAAUCUCUUUGUCUUCGAGCUUGGAAAGACAUUUGUUCUCCAAAAAAUGAAGGAGGCCUUGGGAUAAAAAAUAUGCAAGCAACAAACCGAAGUUUCAUUCUUUCAGCAGCCUGGAGAAUAGUUGAGGACUCCAAUAGCCAUCUAUCUAAAAUCCUCAAAUCCAAGUACUAUCCUCAUACUUCUUUUUGGAAAGCUAGUCACAGUGUUCCCAAAUUAGCUUUUUGGACAUCCAUCUUGAAAGUUAGACAUAUGCUUAUUGCAAAUUCUUUCUAUCAACUUACAGAAGGGAACAUUUCUCUUUGGAGCACCCCUUGGUAUAACUCGUGGGAUACCAUUUACGACCAUAUCAUCGUCCAAUCUAGAGAUUAUGUUUAUCCAUCUCUUGUUAAAGAACUCUGGCUUCCAAAUCAGAAACAAUGGAAUAAUCAAUUGAUUGGUCUUGCAAGAAGAAGGAGAACCACGACCAAGAGCUAUUUCAGUCAACUCAAUGGAGCUUUUGAAACAAGUUUGGAAAGCAAAAGAUAUUGCGCCAAGGGUACAAACAUUUGCAUGGAGGUUAAUCAGGAAAGCACUUCCAACGGGUGGAAGUCAAGGAAUGACAAACUAUUUCAGAAGAAAGAAAGCUCCCCUCUGCGGGGGUUUUAUGCAGCUCAAGCUAUUGAAAAGUGCUUAUCACAAGAAGAGGAAGCCCUGGAGCAAGCACACCAAAAGGAAAGAAAGAAGGAAAUCCAAACAGUAAAUUCUCAUGUGCAGAGAACAACAAUAAAUUUGUCACAUAUACCAGCAAAAAAUAUAGUCUUCAUAGAUGUGGCAUGGAAGAAACAAGAUAAACAUAACAACAGUACAAGAACUGGAUUAGGUGUUCUAUUGCAGGUAAAUCAAGGAGGCAGAAGAUUGAAGGUUCAAAUCUGGGCUACAUGUCAUCAAGCAAAAUCGGCGUUUCAAGCAGAAGCGCAAGCUUUAGUGCUAGCAGCCAACAUAAUAAUCAAGUUACAAAUACAGGGGGUGACAAUCUUCACGGACAACUUGUCCCUGGCAAGCAUAGCUGCUACAAGAUCACCAAGAACAGAUCCAGGACACUGGGAAAUUAGAGGUUUACUUGCAGAUUUUUGUUCAAUCACUGAUCCUACUUCAAUCCAGGUGUUCCAUAUCUCAAGAAUCCAUAACAAAGAAGCUCAUGAUUUAGCCCAACUAGCAAUCCAGCAUAAAGCAACUCAAACAUUUCAAGUCUCUUGCAGCAAUGUGAAUCAUAUUCAAGAAGAUUGUCCUUUGAAGUUUUUUUUUGAGAAGCAAGAGUAG